AAUGAACGUUGGCGGCGUGGAUUAGGCAUGCAAGUCGAGCGAGAACCCGCAAGGGGGACAGCGGCAAACGGGGUAGUAAUGUGUCGGAACGUGCCCUCUGGACGGGGAUAGCGGCGGGAAACUGCCGGUAAUACCCGAUGAACUCGAGAGAGCAAAGGUGUGAUUCCGCCGGAGGAGCGGCCGACAUGGUAUUAGCUAGUUGGCGGGGUAACGGCCCACCAAGGCUGUGAUGCCUAGGGGAUGUGAGAGCAUGAUCCCCACCAUUGGGACUGAGACACUGCCCAGACACCUACGGGUGGCUGCAGUCGAGAAUCUUCGUCAAUGGGCGAAAGUCUGAACGAGCGACGCCGCGUGCGGGAUGAAGGCCCUUGGGUUGUAAACCGCUGUCGAGGGGGAUGAAGGCAUUCAGGUACUCCUGAAUGUUUGACAGAGCCCUGGAGGAAGCACGGGCUAAGUUCGUGCCAGCCGCCGCAGUAAUAC
rnacentral:rRNA from 1 species